rnacentral:misc_RNA from 1 species
AGAAGUAAAAGUCGUAACAAGGUUUCCGUAGGUGAACCUGCGGAAGGAUCAUUAAUGAGUUGUCAUGGGGUUCGAUGCUGGCAGCCAAUUUUUGGAUGCAUGUGCUUGCCCUAACAAUCAUCUUCCAAACACCUGUGCACAUUUUUGAGGGAGUCUUGAGUUGGUUGCCGCUCUUGGGUGAUUUUCUCACAUUCCCUUAAAUCAUUAUACGCUAUUAACAAUGUUGAACGUGCUCUGUGCCGCAAGGCUAUUAAUAUAAUACAACUUUUAACAACGGAUCUCUUGGCUCUC